UCGUCACACUAUCAUUAACUGAAUCCAUAGGUUAAUGAGGCGAACCGGGGGAACUGAAACAUCUAAGUACCCCGAGGAAAAGAAAUCAACCGAGAUUCCCCCAGUAGCGGCGAGCGAACGGGGAGGAGCCCAGAGCCUGAAUCAGCAUGUGUGUUAGUGGAAGCGUCUGGAAAGGCGCGCGAUACAGGGUGACAGCCCCGUACACAAAAGCGCAUGUGCUGUGAGCUCGAUGAGUAGGGCGGGACACGUGGUAUCCUGUCUGAAUAUGGGGGGACCAUCCUCCAAGGCUAAAUACUCCUGACUGACCGAUAGUGAACCAGUACCGUGAGGGAAAGGCGAAAAGAACCCCGGCGAGGGGAGUGAAAAAGAACCUGAAACCGUGUACGUACAAGCAGUGGGAGCACAGGUUUACCUGUGUGACUGCGUACCUUUUGUAUAAUGGGUCAGCGACUUAUAUUCUGUAGCAAGGUUAACCGUAUAGGGGAGCCGGAGGGAAACCGAGUCUUAAUUGGGCGUUAAGUUGCAGGGUAUAGACCCGAAACCCGGUGAUCUAGCCAUGGGCAGGUUGAAGGUUGGGUAACACUAACUGGAGGACCGAACCGACUAAUGUUGAAAAAUUAGCGGAUGACCUGUGGCUGGGGGUGAAAGGCCAAUCAAACCGGGAGAUAGCUGGUUCUCCCCGAAAGCUAUUUAGGUAGCGCCUCGUGAAUUCAUCUCCGGGGGUAGAGCACUGUUUCGGCUAGGGGGCCAUCCCGGCUUACCAACCCGAUGCAAACUGCGAAUACCGGAGAAUGUUAUCACGGGAGACACACGGCGGGUGCUAACGUCCGUCGUGAAGAGGGAAACAACCCAGACCGCCAGCUAAGGUCCCAAAGUCAUGGUUAAGUGGGAAACGAUGUGGGAAGGCCCAGACAGCCAGGAUGUUGGCUUAGAAGCAGCCAUCAUUUAAAGAAAGCGUAAUAGCUCACUGGUCGAGUCGGCCUGCGCGGAAGAUGUAACGGGGCUAAACCAUGCACCGAAGCUGCGGCAGCGANNUGCUGGAGGUAUCAGAAGUGCGAAUGCUGACAUAAGUAACGAUAAAGCGGGUGAAAAGCCCGCUCGCCGGAAGACCAAGGGUUCCUGUCCAACGUUAAUCGGGGCAGGGUGAGUCGACCCCUAAGGCGAGGCCGAAAGGCGUAGUCGAUGGGAAACGGGUUAAUAUUCCCGUACUUGGUGUUACUGCGAAGGGGGGACGGAGAAGGCUAUGUUGGCCGGGCGACGGUUGUCCCGGUUUAAGCGUGUAGGUGUGUGUUCCAGGUAAAUCCGGUUCACUUUAACACUGAGGCGUGACGACGAGGCACUACGGUGCUGAAGCAACAAAUGCCCUGCUUCCAGGAAAAGCCUCUAAGCAUCAGGUAACAUCAAAUCGUACCCCAAACCGACACAGGUGGUCAGGUAGAGAAUACCAAGGCGCUUGAGAGAACUCGGGUGAAGGAACUAGGCAAAAUGGUGCCGUAACUUCGGGAGAAGGCACGCUGACACGUAGGUGAAGUGAUUUACUCAUGGAGCUGAAGUCAGUCGAAGAUACCAGCUGGCUGCAACUGUUUAUUAAAAACACAGCACUGUGCAAACACGAAAGUGGACGUAUACGGUGUGACGCCUGCCCGGUGCCGGAAGGUUAAUUGAUGGGGUCAGCGUAAGCGAAGCUCCUGAUCGAAGCCCCGGUAAACGGCGGCCGUAACUAUAACGGUCCUAAGGUAGCGAAAUUCCUUGUCGGGUAAGUUCCGACCUGCACGAAUGGCGUAAUGAUGGCCAGGCUGUCUCCACCCGAGACUCAGUGAAAUUGAACUCGCUGUGAAGAUGCAGUGUACCCGCGGCAAGACGGAAAGACCCCGUGAACCUUUACUAUAGCUUGACACUGAACAUUGAGCCUUGAUGUGUAGGAUAGGUGGGAGGCUUUGAAGUGUGGACGCCAGUCUGCAUGGAGCCGACCUUGAAAUACCACCCUUUAAUGUUUGAUGUUCUAACGUGGACCCGUAAUCCGGGUUGCGGACAGUGUCUGGUGGGUAGUUUGACUGGGGCGGUCUCCUCCUAAAGAGUAACGGAGGAGCACGAAGGUUGGCUAAUCCUGGUCGGACAUCAGGAGGUUAGUGCAAUGGCAUAAGCCAGCUUGACUGCGAGCGUGACGGCGCGAGCAGGUGCGAAAGCAGGUCAUAGUGAUCCGGUGGUUCUGAAUGGAAGGGCCAUCGCUCAACGGAUAAAAGGUACUCCGGGGAUAACAGGCUGAUACCGCCCAAGAGUUCAUAUCGACGGCGGUGUUUGGCACCUCGAUGUCGGCUCAUCACAUCCUGGGGCUGAAGUAGGUCCCAAGGGUAUGGCUGUUCGCCAUUUAAAGUGGUACGCGAGCUGGGUUUAGAACGUCGUGAGACAGUUCGGUCCCUAUCUGCCGUGGGCGCUGGAGAACUGAGGGGGGCUGCUCCUAGUACGAGAGGACCGGAGUGGACGCAUCACUGGUGUUCGGGUUGUCAUGCCAAUGGCACUGCCCGGUAGCUAAAUGCGGAAGAGAUAAGUGCUGAAAGCAUCUAAGCACGAAACUUGCCCCGAGAUGAGUUCUCCCUGAGACUUAGAGUCUCCUGAAGGAACGUUGAAGACGACGACGUUGAUAGGCCGGGUGUGUAAGG
rnacentral:rRNA from 1 species